CCUACGGGUGGUGCAGUGGGGAAUAUUGGACAAUGGGGGGAACCCUGAUCCAGCCAUGCCGCGUGUGUGAAGAAGGCCCUCGGGUUGUAAAGCACUUUCAGUGAGGAAGAACGCCUGGUGGUUAAUACCCAUCAGGAAAGACAUCACUCACAGAAGAAGCACCGGCUAACUCCGUGCCAGCAGCCGCGGUAAUACGGAGGGUGCGAGCGUUAAUCGGAAUUACUGGGCGUAAAGCGCGCGUAGGUGGCUUGAUAAGCCGGUUGUGAAAGCCCCGGGCUCAACCUGGGAACGGCAUCCGGAACUGUCAAGCUAGAGUGCAGGAGAGGAAGGUAGAAUUCCCGGUGUAGCGGUGAAAUGCGUAGAGAUCGGGAGGAAUACCAGUGGCGAAGGCGGCCUUCUGGACUGACACUGACACUGAGGUGCGAAAGCGUGGGUAGCAAACAGGAUUAGAUACCCUUGUAGUC
rnacentral:rRNA from 1 species